rnacentral:rRNA from 1 species
GACGAACGCUGGCGGCGUGCUUAACACAUGCAAGUCGAACGGUAAGGCCCUUCGGGGUACACGAGUGGCGAACGGGUGAGUAACACGUGGGUGAUCUGCCCUGCACUUCGGGAUAAGCCUGGGAAACUGGGUCUAAUACCGGAUAGGACCACUGCCUGCAUGGGUGGUGGUGGAAAGCUUUUGCGGUGUGGGAUGGGCCCGCGGCCUAUCAGCUUGUUGGUGGGGUGAUGGCCUACCAAGGCGACGACGGGUAGCCGGCCUGAGAGGGUGACCGGCCACACAGGGACUGAGAGACGGCCCAGACUCCUACGGGAGGAAGCAGUGGGGAAUAUUGCACAAUGGGCGCAAGCCUGAUGCAGCGACGCCGCGUGAGGGAUGACGGCCUUCGGGUUGUAAACCUCUUUCAGCACCGACGAAGCGCAGGUGACGGUAGGUGCAGAAGAAGGACCGGCCAACUACGUGCCAGCCGCCGCGGUAA